CCGUAACUAUAACGGUCCUAAGGUAGCGAAAUUCCUUGUCGGGUAAGUUCCGACCCGCACGAAAGGCGUAACGAUUUGGGCACUGUCUCAACGAGAGACUCGGUGAAAUCAUAGUACCUGUGAAGAUGCAGGUUACCCGCGACAGGACGGAAAGACCCCGUGGAGCUUUACUGUAGCCUGAUAUUGAAAUUCGGCACAGCUUGUACAGGAUAGGUAGGAGCCUUUGAAACGUGAGCGCUAGCUUACGUGGAGGCGUUGGUGGGAUACUACCCUAGCUGUGUUGGCUUUCUAACCCGCACCACUUAUCGUGGUGGGAGACAGUGUCAGGCGGGCAGUUUGACUGGGGCGGUCGCCUCCUAAAAGGUAACGGAGGCGCUCAAAGGUUCCCUCAGAAUGGUUGGAAAUCAUUCAUAGAGUGUAAAGGCAUAAGGGAGCUUGACUGCGAGACCUACAAGUCGAGCAGGGUCGAAAGACGGACUUAGUGAUCCGGUGGUUCCGCAUGGAAGGGCCAUCGCUCAACGGAUAAAAGCUACCCCGGGGAUAACAGGCUUAUCUCCCCCAAGAGUUCACAUCGACGGGGAGGUUUGGCACCUCGAUGUCGGCUCAUCGCAUCCUGGGGCUGUAGUCGGUCCCAAGGGUUGGGCUGUUCGCCCAUUAAAGCGGUACGCGAGCUGGGUUCAGAACGUCGUGAGACAGUUCGGUCCCUAUCCGUCGUGGGCGUAGGAAAUUUGAGAGGAGCUGUCCUUAGUACGAGAGGACCGGGAUGGACAUACCUCUGGUGUACCAGUUGUCGUGCCAACGGCAUAGCUGGGUAGCUAUGUAUGGACGGGAUAAGUGCUGAAAGCAUCUAAGCAUGAAGCCCCCCUCAAGAUGAGAUUUCCCAACUUCGGUUAUAAGAUCCCUCGAAGAUGACGAGGUUAAUAGGUUCGAGGUGGAAGCGUGGUGACACGUGGAGCUGACGAAUACUAAUCGAUCGAAGACUUAAUCAA
rnacentral:rRNA from 1 species